AACGGGAUAGAGUAAUAUGGUUAACUCGUUAGACUCAUGAUCUAAGAUUAUAGGUUCGAAUCCUAUUCCCGUAU
rnacentral:tRNA from 1 species